UUUCUUUUUUGGUGGCACCCCAAACAGCAGGGGGGUCAGCUAAAACUCUUCAGUCUGAAGCACACAGCAGUUCCCCAAACUCCAGACGCUUGUACCUUGAUUACAGCCCUCCUGUGGGCACCAUAACAAUCAAGUAGGAAGGGAAGGAUCUAGUUUUACAGAGACAUCAAAUGAAACCGCACGGCGAAGUCUGUUUAAAGGCGUUCUCGCAGGCACUGUGAGCCCGGGACUUGUCAACUAGUACGAAUUGAAAUUGGAUCUCGCCUCAUCUUUGUGAGAGGCGCAUCUCUGACCUCCGAGAAUAAGAUGGCUUUUUAGAUAUGCAAUAGGGCAUUUAAUCAGCCUUCCUGCAGGAGCAGCGGGCUGUGUUUGGUUGAUACUGGUACGUACCUUAAGCACACCUGACCAAGUUCAAAAGCAACACAGACCUAGGGGCAUACGCAUACAUAUAGGAUGCCGUUUGGUAACAUGACCGCUCAGCAAGGCGACAGCAGUAUGUUUCUUGCUGGGGCGUAUGCUCUCCCCAGUCAUGGGCGUUUGGCCAGCUCUACCAAACCAGGCAUGAAAUCCCUCCUGUCGAGUAGCCUCAUUUGGAUCAGGACUUGGUUGGUUACCCAGACUGCAUCAUUGGGCCCAUCUUACCAGCAGGUCGGUGUUACUGCAGGCAGGAUCCACCAUUUGACAAGACCAUUGAUGCCCUUCCUCCCCCAGCAGCCAGCAAGUACCUCUGACAUUAUAUAAGCAAACCAGCAGGGAGUUUCCUGGUUAACUUGAGGUUGAUUUCUCUCUAUCCUGCCCCUCAAAGUGAACCAUGGCUUCAGUAAUAGGGUCUUAACAUCUAAUUAUGGUGGGCAACCAAGGCAACGACAGUGCCCUGUGUUGUUUUGGGCACGUCUGGAGACUCCAUGACCAAUAAUUCAUAAGGAGCUAUCCCAUACAUGGGGCUAAGAUUUUCAUUUAGUAACCAUGUCUUCUGGGAGCAGUGUUGGGCACAUCGUAGAACACCUCUAUUGAAAAUAUCAGUAAGGUCCGAUACUCCAAAAGUGCUAGGGGGUAAAACAGGGAGGACAUUUCAAUGUACAGGCACAGGCAUGGACUUUCUGAGUAUCUUCCUGCAGUGUAGGAAAACCGGAAAUGGACAAAUGGGACCUCAAAAAAUGAAAAGCCCAGGAAACUGCCAAUCAAGCAAAAUGGCAGCUUGGAGAAUGAGGGGAGUCCUUGCCUGCUAUAUCUGAAAAAGGACCAGCUUCUAGAGUUCAUGAAGAAUUUAUGAAACUAAACGUCAAGAAAAGAAACAACCAGUUUUUAAUGAAUGGACCAUGGGACUGGACAAGAAAGAUAAGACAAUAAAUACUUUAAAAAGCGUUCAGCAUCCUCAGCUGUCAGGGCAAGGCAGAUUAAAAUUACAUUUAAGGAUUCUUCUUUUUAGGGCACUUUAUAUUUUGAUCCAACCCUUUUUCUUUUAGGUGGUUCAUGACUUUAGCUAAUUAUUUUUAUUAUUUUUAUUUCUGUGGAGUUGAGGACUGACUUCAGUACUCAUCCGUGCUAGAUAAGUGCUCGGUCACUAACUUACCACACCCCCAGCCUCUCACUGGCGGACUCUGGGCAAUCGCUCCACAGCCGAGCCACGCCCCUAGCCUCUCACUGGAGGACUCUAGGCAAUCGCUCCACAGCUGAGCCACGCCCCCAGCCUCUCACUGGUGGACUCUGGGCAAUCGCUCCAUAGCCGAGCCAUGCACCCAGCGUAAAAUAUGGUCCUCAGCAUCACACUAACAAGGGCUUCCGGCGUGCUUAGCAAGCACCCUACUAACUGAACAACAUCUUCAGCUCUGCUUCCUGCUUUGUUAUUAUUAUUGUUUAAUGAGGUCUACUGAAGGUUUUACUCCUCUUCCCCCUCCCCUCCCCUUCUUUUUCAAUUCUGUGGUGCUAGGGAUAGAGGCUGGGGGUGCGCUAAGCAAAUGCUCUACCACCGAACUAUGGCUUCCCGCACUGCCCUGGCUUUCUUAUUUUGCAUACAAAUUCUAUUUUGGUUGUCUGGCCACAGUCAUGCACAAAUCUACCUUCCUUAUGCCAGUUUGGGUGCACCACACGAAACCAUGUAUGCCUCAACCAACCCACCAACCAAGCAGCUCAUCAAACAAAUAAAAUCAAACGAAAAAAAAUACUUCACAUAAUUGCAUCAAGGUGUGUAUGUGUUGACAUAAACUAGGGUCAUCUCAGUGGAGGGAACCUAAUUGAGGAGCUUCCUCCCUUACAGACACGUUUUACGGUGUUUUCUUGAUUAAUGAUCGAUGUGGUAGGGUCUGUGAUGCCAUGGGCAGUAUCCCCCUGGGCAGGUGGUCCUGGCUUGUAUAAAAAGGCAAGGUGAUCGAGCCAUGGAGAGCAAGCCAGUAAGCAGUGUUUGUUCUUCCAUGGCCUCUGCUUCAGUUCCUGCCUGUAGGUCCCUGAUUGAGUUCCUGACCUGUUUUCCUACAAGGACGGACUGUGAUGCGGAAGUGUGACGGAGUAAACCAUUUCCUCCCUUACGCUGCUGUUGGCCAUUUAUCAGCAGCUAGGCCAGGUCGGGUACGUUUUUAUUCUGUCAUGUGCCUGUCUUGUUGUCUGAAGAUUUAUUUUUAAAAUCUUUAUGUGUGGGAGUGUUUUGCCAACAUGUAUGCACACCACUCGUGUGCCGAGUGCCCCUGGGAGCCAGAAGAGGCUGCUGGAUCUACUGGAGCUGGAGUUAUAAGUGUUUGAGACGUACCAGAUCGUGGAUGCUGGGAGGAGAACCUGGGUCCUCUGCAAGAGUGGUGCACACUCCAGCUCCUACUUAUCCUUAACCUUCUUUUGCUGUCUUACCUUGAAUGACAAGAUUUACUUCAUUCCAUCCUGCCCACCCUUAGUUACUUGGAACCUGUGAUGUAAACGCCUACUGUCCUAUCAGCUUUCACACGUUUUAGGCACCGUUUAUAGACUGCAGUCUCCCAACUUGACUGCCCUCUCCCAUGCUCCCCCACAUCGCUGCUUGCUGAUGCUAACAGACCUUUACCCUCAUUGGCACUGCCAACAGGAAACACUGUGGAAUAUGCACCGAAGCUCAGUUUCCUGCUCCUUACUCUCCACUGCCCUGAGGUUUCCUGGCUGCUGGAACCCGUGAUUCAUUCAUUAAUUCGCAAGUAUACCGGGCAAGUUCCUCAGGUCGCCCAUCCUGGAGAAGCCUUCACUGUCGUCCCUUCACGUUGUCUUCGGCAGGGAACAUGGAAUUCUACGUUCUGAGUUUAUCCUCAGAACUUUUGCCAAAGAACCCCCCUGCCCUCAGGUCUUUUCAGAUAACUUGUUUAACUUCGUUUCCAUUUUAUUGACAUCCUACUAAUUGAUUAGUUAGUUAAUUGUUCUUCUGUUUCGAGGAAUAGGUUUUUGUUUUCUUGUUUUUCAUUUUGUUUUUGAGACAAGAGUCUCCAGACCAGACUGGCUUCAAAUCCAACACAUAGCAGAGGAUGCCCUUGAGCUCCCCAUUCCCCUGCCAACUCCUCCUGAGCCGGGAGUGCACCACUCUGCCUGGUGGUUUAUGUGAUGCUGGGGGAUGGAGCCCAGGACUUCGUGAAUUCUAAGCAAGUGCUCUACCCAGUGAGCCACUUCCAAGCCUGUAAUUUAUCUUUCUUCACUUAUGGAAAACCAUCCAGAAUCCUUCUGUAUAGCCUCCUACUUGUAAGAGCCUUAUUUGUAAAAGGAGCUGAACGUCAGCAGUGCAGGCUCAACCUUCAGAAUCCACUGAUGUAUUAAAUGUGCAGCACGUCUCCUGGUGCACUUCUGAUACAUUUUAGGAGCGUUUCCAAGCUUGUUCUUCGGUUAUUUUCAUGUUUCUCUUCAGUCUGUUGAAUUUUUAUUUCAACAGGGAACAUGUAACCUCUAAGCUGCCCACUUUUAGCGGUGGCAAUAUGUUCUUUUGCGUCUCUUAAAAGCACCCGUGCAUCUUUUCUAUAGCCACCCCCUCACCUGUUUUCUCCAGUCAAUGUUUCUUUGACAAACCACCUUCCGUGAGUGGUGCCUCUAUCUUACCAUCCUGAAAGACGUCUGGUGGUGACUGGCGUUGCGCUCACUCAACCCCCUGAUCCUCCUGCCUCAGCUUCCCCAGGGUCAGUUGUACCACCAUGGCUGGAGCUCAGCCACCUGUAUCCUUCGGAUUAUGUGGUAGACUACCUGCUGCCCCGUCCCUACACCAAGGAGGAUUGUGCCACUGACACCGCUAAUUGUCUUUUUACUUAUUUAUUUAUUUUUAUGAUGUGUAUGCAUGUGUGUAUACUCGAGGGCCGUCACAUACCUUCUGCCCCAAGAAGCUCCCGAGAUUAGGGGUUAGGGAUACCCUUGCAGAUCUCUCCUUUUUUGUUCAGGCUUUGUCACAACUCAUCCACCUUCCUCUUUUCUCUGCUGCAUAUCCUUGCCUCUGCCUGUCUAUCUUUUCAUUAUAUCUUUUUUUUUUAUCAUUUCUAUUACAUGAGAUGGUGGAGUAGUUUCACGCCCUUUAGUGUGGCAGGAAAUAAUGAGAAAAUGAAACACCAUCUCAUGCUAGUGUCAGCACUGGUGGGCCACAUGGCACCAGCAGGGUGUUCCCAUCUCGGCAGACUCUCUGGUCAAUGCCACCCCAGC